UACGUAGGGUGCAAGCGUUAAUCGGAAUUACUGGGCGUAAAGCGUGCGCAGGCGGUUGUGCAAGACAGAUGUGAAAUCCCCGGGCUUAACCUGGGAACUGCAUUUGUGACUGCACGGCUAGAGUGUGUCAGAGGGGGGUAGAAUUCCACGUGUAGCAGUGAAUGCGUAGAUAUGUGGAGGAAUACCGAUGGCGAAGGCAGCCCCCUGGGAUAACACUGACGCUCAUGCACGAAAGCGUGGGGAGCAAACAGG
rnacentral:rRNA from 1 species